UACAGAGGGGGCAAGCGUUGUUCGGAAUUACUGGGCGUAAAGGGCGCGUAGGCGGCCUGUUAAGUCAGACGUGAAAUCCCUCGGCUCAACCGGGGAACUGCGUCUGAUACUGUCGGGCUUGAGUACGGAAGAGGCGAGUGGAAUUCCUGGUGUAGCGGUGAAAUGCGCAGAUAUCAGGAGGAACACCAAUUGCGAAGGCAGCUCGCUGGGACGUUACUGACGCUGAGACGCGAAAGCGUGGGGGAGCAAACAGG
rnacentral:rRNA from 1 species